rnacentral:rRNA from 1 species
AUGGCACAAGCUUCAAUGCACACUACUGUUAUGCAAGUAUUCAGCAGUUUGGAAAUCCAUGCAUUGAUUCUCUUGAGCUUUGCCCUGCAACUAUUCCUCUUCUUCUCGGGCGGCCUUCGGCGCCGCCACUGCCAUAUGCUGCUUACGACCUCAAUAUGGCUGUCUUACCUGUCAGCUGAUUUCAUCGCGGCAUAUGCGCUGGGCUACCUUUCACGCCAGUUGUCUUGCGGGCACCUUUCCUUCUUAUCCACCUUGGAGGGCAGGACACCGCCAAGCAUGCCUGGUCAUGUAUGUGUUGUGGAAGUCGGUGGCAUUGGCACACUACCACUUGUUAUCCCGGCUGCAUUUCUAUUUGUUGCCGGGAUCAUCAAGUACGGAGAGAGGAUUUGGGCACUCAAGUUGGGGAACCAGAAAGGCCUGAGGACCUCCACUAGCGGAGAAGCAAAGAAGGCAUCCCUGGAAGUAGAGGGCAGUGAACAAUAUGUGCAGACAUAUCAAGCAAUUAUCAAGUAUGCUGCUCUUCACACCAAGGGAGCCGUGCGGGGUAUAUUCGCUGGACAGGAUCUCUAUGACAUGGACCUGCAAAGUCGUAGUAAAUUUCGAGAUUUACAUAGGUAUGAUAUGGAGUAUGUACAAGACAAGUUCAAGAUAGCAGAGAUUGAGCUUAGUAUAAUGUACGACAGCCUCUUCACGAAAUCCCGGGUGAUUCAAACAACGGCCGGCGCCAUCCUUCGGUGUGUCUCCCUCGCCUCCACAGUGGUUGCCUUUGUGCUUUACGUCAAGAUGAUGAUGAGUGGUAGUGUCGAUGCUGAGCAAACGGCGGUUGCAUACAAGGACGACUACAGAAGAAGUGGAAUUGAUGCUGCCAUCACCUAUGCAUUAUUUGUUGGAACAUUUUUUCUCGAAGCUUGCUCGAUCUUCAUCGUGAUGAUGUCGCCGUGGGAGUGGCCAUUCUUGGAAGCUCGAGCUGGAUGGUAUAGUCGUGUGCUGCUCAACCGAGUGGCAUGGCCAAUCUUCAUGAAGAUCCAACCAGAGACCAAGCCAUGGUGGUCAAACUCAAUGGGGCAGUACAACUUGUUUAGCUCCAGCAGGAGCAUGUCAGCUGAAGGCCACAGGUGGUGGAAUAGAACCAUCAGAAUGGCAAAGAAGAUGGCAGGCGUGUUUGGAGCUACUGAUGUGUGGAACAAGAUAAACAACACCAAGCACACCCAAGUCACGAGGGAGAUCAAGGAUCUCAUCCACGACUCAUUAGGCCUUGUAGACCUUGUGUUUGGGCAACCUCAAUCCAUCCGUGUUCCAAGGAAUUAUAAAGUACUACUGUCUAUCUCCUUCGAGCAUGCCUUGUUGACGCUACACCUUUGGACAGACGAGGUGCUACAGAAGGCGGCCAAGUCGACAAUGGUGAUGAAUAGCAUUCGCACCACCCAAGACCAAGAGGCAGCACGGCAGCAAUGUCUUAUGGAUACCUGCAAGAGGCUAUCUGACUACAUGGUGUACCUGAUGGUGACGCACCCUGCCAUGCUAGCUACCCAUCAGCACCAACGUGCAGGAUCUACUGGCGAAGGCCUCACAUUUCUGGCACUCGCAAAUGGGGUGCCGGAAAGCCAAAGGGGUAUCCACGCGGAGCUUGAGAAACUGGAGCAGUUGUGGGUGAGGAUGCUGGUGUACGCAGCCGGAAAAUGCCGGCCGGAAGAGCAUGCCCGAAGGCUGAGUGCUGGGGGAGAGCUCAUCACCUUCGCCUGGAUGCUCUUGGCGCAUCGGGGAAUGGGAGACGUGCAGCACAGAGUCAGUCUUUUCUCAGGACAAACCGUCCCAGGAGCAAAUCUUUUGGAAUUUGAGACAUCUGCAAAUUAA